UGGUGGAGUGAUUUGUCUGGUUAAUUCCGAUAACGAACGAGACCUCCGCCUGCUAAAUAGGGUGGUCUGGGAUUCCAGGCCCCCCCUUCUUAGAGGGACGAUGUGCGUUUAGCACAGGGAAGUUGGAGGCAAUAACA
rnacentral:rRNA from 1 species